GGGGAUAAGGUCUCUGCGCAAUGCUAGGCGGUGUUGUCGUAGAAGUUAGAAAUAAAAAGUACAGGUUCCAGCCCCGGCGCCGGGGAGGAAGUUACGAAUCAAAUCUACUCUAACAUCGUUAGGUUGAUUUUCUAGGCACUUUAUACAUAUUCUAACGCCUGGUAUUUCUUAAUCAUAAGAAAUCCGAUGGACAAGGUAUAAUUUGCAGUUGUCACUACACAUAGGCAGAGAU
rnacentral:lncRNA from 1 species